rnacentral:rRNA from 1 species
ACUUACGGCCAUACCACCCUGGAAAUGUCUGAUCUCAUCUGAACUCGGAAGUAAAGCAGGGUCGGGCCUGGUUAGUACUUGGAUGGGAGACUGCCUGGCAAUACCAGGUGCUGUAAGCU